UUAAGUUCAGCGGGUAGUCCUACCUGAUUUGAGGUCAAAUUGUCAAAGGUAUUGUCCUUGCGGACGGUUAGAAGCGAGUCUAAACCCUGUCCACGGCGUAGAUAAUUAUCACACCAAUAGACGGAGCUCAGUACGAACUCGCUAAUGCAUUUCAGGGGAGCAGACCGCGCUGAGGCAGCCUGCACAAACCCCCACAUCCA
rnacentral:misc_RNA from 1 species